rnacentral:rRNA from 1 species
UACGUAGGGGGCAAGCGUUGUCCGGAUUUACUGGGCGUAAAGCGCCUGUAGGCGGCCUGUCAAGUCCGGCCUGAAAGCCCCCCGCUCAACGGGGGAGGGUGGCUGGAAACUGGCAGGCUUGAGGGCGAGAGAGGAGGGUGGAAUUCCUGGUGUAGCGGUGAAAUGCGCAGAUAUCGGGAGGAACACCAAUGGCGAAGGCAGCUCGCUGGGACGUGACUGACGCUGAGACGCGAAAGCGUGGGGAGCAAACAGG